rnacentral:rRNA from 1 species
AUUGAACGCUGGCGGCAUGCUUUACACAUGCAAGUCGAACGGCAGCGCGGGCUUCGGCCUGGCGGCGAGUGGCGAACGGGUGAGUAAUGCCUCGGAACGUGCCCAGUAUUUGGGGAUAGCGCGGCGAAAGCCGGAUUAAUACCGCAUACGACCUGAGGGUGAAAGCGGGUGCCCGAGAGGCCUCUCGCCAUUUGAGCGGCCGAUGUGGGAUGAGCUAGUUGGUGGGGUAAAGGCUUACCAAGGCGACGAUCCGUAGCUGGUCUGAGAGGACGACCAGCCACACUGGGACUGAGACACGGCCCAGACUCCGACGGGAGGCAGCAGUGGGGAAUUUUGGACAAUGGGGGCAACCCUGAUCCAGCCAUGCCGCGUGCGGGAAGAAGGCCUUCGGGUUGUAAACCGCUUUUGUUCGGGAAGAAAUCCUCUGGGCUAAUACCCCGGGGGGAUGACGGUACCGGAAGAAUAAGCACCGGCUAACUACGUG